rnacentral:rRNA from 1 species
AGUGAACGCUGGCGGCAGGCCUAAUACAUGCAAGUCGAACGGCAGCACAGCAGAGCUUGCUCUGUGGGUGGCGAGUGGCGGACGGGUGAGGAAUACGUGGGAAUCUGCCCAGUCGUGGGGGAUAACGUAGGGAAACUUACGCUAAUACCGCAUGCGCCCUUCGGGGAAAGCCGGGGACCUUCGGCCUGGCGCGAUUGGAUGAGCCCACGUCGGAUUAGCUAGUUGGCGGGGUAAAGGCCCACCAAGGCGACGAUCCGUAGCUGGUCUGAGAGGAUGAUCAGCCACACUGGAACUGAGACAGGUCCAGACUCCUACGGGAGGCAGCAGUAGGGAAUAUUGGACAAUGGGCGCAAGCCUGAUCCAGCCAUGCCGCGUGAGUGAAGAAGGCCUCGGGUU